rnacentral:lncRNA from 10 species
GCAGCUCCAGCUUCUUCCCUCCCUCCCCAUGAAGAAGAGUUCCCUCCUCCUCCUCCUCCUGCUUCUCCUGCUCAGAGUUCCUGCCUCCAGCUGCCAGGGGGGACAGCCAGCCAGCAGCAGGAGGGAUAAAUUGGAAGUAAGUUUAUGAGCAGCCUCGGAAGCCUGGGCGCAGAGUGCAGGGCCGGAGCCGGUGACAGAGGCGGCGUGCCGGGGGCGGCGGGGAGGGGGCGUCACAUUGUCCCGGCGGGGGGCCGGCCGGGGGCUGCGGGCGGGGGC